rnacentral:rRNA from 1 species
UAGCGUAUAUUAAAGUUGUUGCAGUUAAAAAGCUCGUAGUUGGAUUUCUGGCUGGAGCGAUCGGUCCGCCCCGCAAGGGGUGUGUACUAGCGUCGUCUCCGACCAUCCUUGUGGGAACUGUGCGGCCGUUAACUCGGUUGUAUAUGGGAACACAUCGUUUACUGUGAAAAAAUUAGAGUGUUUAAAGCAGGCUUAAGCCGUUGAAUACAUUAGCAUGGAAUAAUAAGAUAAGACUUGGGUCAUUAUUUUGUUGGUUUGCGGAUCGAGGUAAUGAUUAAUAGGGAUAGUUGGGGGUAUUCAUAUUUAAUUGUCGGAGGUGAAAUUCUUGGAUUUAUGAAAGAUGAACUUAGGCGAAAGCAUUUACCAAGGAUGUUUUCAUUAAUCAAGAACGAAAGUUAGGGGAUCGAAGAUGAUUAGAUACCAUCGUAGUCUUAACCAUAAACUAUGCCGACUAGGGAUUGGCGGUCGUUACUUAAUGACUCCGUCAGCACCUUAUGAGAAAUCAAAGUCUUUGGGUUCCGGGGGGAGUAUGGUCGCAAGGCUGAAACUU